UUGCGAGUACUUUGGAUGAGUACUCACGGUUGCUUUCUCCCCCCUUUUCCCCCUUUCCUUUCUUUCUGGUUGUCGCAACCAGAUGCUGGAGCCCAGGAGCCAGACGCCACCGUCGACGACGACUACUACACUGGAGGUGCCUACUACUAUGUGCAGGCUGCUGACGACGACCAGGAGUAGUUUAGGAGGAUCCCAGGCAGGAGGCCUGCGCCUCUUUCGAUCUGUAUCCCAGUUUGUACUAGCCAUCUUAUGGAAACUUGUUUAAACUUAUGUCUGUACUCAGAUAUUGUUGCUUCCGCUCACUCGUCUAUGAUCGAGCACUUUCAUUCGAGCCCUCGAGGCCCCUGGCUUGUAUUAUGAUGCUUGUAUGACUUAUUUAUGUUUUUAGAGUUGUGUUGUGAUAUCUUCCCAUGAGUCCCUGAUCUUGAUCGUACACGUUUGCGUGCAUGAUUAGUGUACGAUUGAAUCGGGGGCAUCACAAGUUGGUAUCAGAGCCGACUGCCUGUAGGAAUCCCCCUUUCCAACUCCUUGGCCGAUGUCGAGUCUAGUCAUUGAAAAACUUUUACUAACAUGGUUGUGUGGCUUACGCGCCCACGUCGCCAUUGGGUGGUAUUAGGAUCUUUUACUCCUUGAUCUUUACUCUGGGACUCUGAGAUCUCUUCUAUUCGGGUUAAAUGAUUUUGCUAAAAACAAAACUAACUAUAGGUUCUCGCAAGUACUUUCUCCCGGAGAGCCCCUUGUUACCGAUGACCGCCUGCUGCACCAGAAGAUUCCGAAGAUACUCUACGAUGUGCUCUCGAGACUAUGUGCCAUUGAUUUUGCAAUUCACUUCCAUCGAUAAAUCCCUCUGGAUAACUACUUACACCUAUCGUUCAUAUUGUCAUCCCUAGUUGCUCUUGUUAUUACAAGAUGUCCUGAAAUACUCUUCGAUAUUCCGAGAAUUCUUUAUGCUUACUGCCCUGCAGUUCCUUGCUGCAUGAAUACCCCUACGCUUAAUUACUCGCGCUUGCCGAGUAUCCGUUUGUCCAAAGUUGUUCAUGUGUUUCACAAAAAUACAUUCAAAUACUACCCGAUCUUCCGAAAAUCCUGAUUAGCCUAUUGCUCUUGAAAUUCUUGCUUACUUGCAUUAUGGUUAAUCCCAUAAGUCUUGUAGUCUUAAUGGCAUCCCUUGUCAUUAUCAUUUUGAGUCUGUUGACUCAAUAUGUUUGCGAAUACACACAAUCAUCAUUGAUCCUUAUAAAUUACCUUUCCGACUGAGCUGCCAUUCUUUUAACUGGAAUUGGUUCUCGACCAAUCCAAUUGCCGUUGAUUGUACCCUAAGGCUAUUCAACUUAUCCAUCCCUAAUCAGAGCAUUGCUUCUGAUCCUUCGAUUUGGAUUCAUAAUUCCUUUGCAUUUAUGCUUCGAAUUAGUCAGAUGAUUCUAUAACCUGAUGCAUUUGCAUUCUUUCCUUUUCUGGUUGAGUAGCGAUACUCACAUCAGAUCCUUUGUGGACCGUCAAGUCCUUUGUUGGAUUAUUAUCCGAAAAUGUCCUUCAUAUUCAAAUAACCUUGUGAGCCUUUCCACGGAUAUAUAAAGCCUUGUUAAUUUGUAUCCUCUGUUUUCUCAACCAUGCUCUGUUCUCGAGCUGGUGGUAUUUACUAUUGAAGCUUGUGGUAUAUGUUUCCAUGAUACCCUAACGGGUUGAACCUAUGCAUUCCUUAAUAUGUGUGAACUCGAAAGUUUUCACGAGUCAUACUCUUCCGGUAUUUUGCUAGAUAAAAUUUCAACACUACAACUUCUUCGAAAGUGAGAGGUGAAUGGAAGGUUAUACAUUGAAGAAGUGGGAGUCGACCUUGAACUUUGUGUUCAUGCCCAUGGACACGAUGUGGGACCUACCAUAGAAGCUUCUUGUUAUAAUAACUAUUUCGUUGAUAUAAUAUCAUCUAGUAUCUGUGAAUUGAUCCUAUGCAAUCGUGGUUCCGACCCUAUUUUCUCUUUGAUCCCAUUUCUCGGGCAAGUUAAAGCACUUGUCUUUUGCAAGUCAAUACACCAGUCCAACCUCUACCUUGAUCUACCCUCGGGUAUCUCGAGAAUAUCUAAGAACUGUGUUGCUUCUUAUGAGUCCUCAUCAGCUAUUAUUUCUCACUGAUUCCAAUUUUCUCGGGUUCUGGGUUGUCGUCAAUCGAGAACACCGAUUCCGCAUUUCGGUUCGAUAACCCUAAGUAAUUUCCGUUGCUUACGAGUUUAUUAAUCCUUUAAGUCUUUCCUAGCCUGAUCGGCUGUAUCGUUAUCGUGCUAAAUCUUAACCGUGCUACCUGGUCCUUCUUUCCGUAGCACAAUUUUCGAUGAUGAGCUAAGCUUACGUCACUCUUCCUCGUCAUAUCAUUUCGCCUUGAACAACAAGCUAGAUUUCGAGUUUGUGUGGUACCCGUGGUUCCAAUAACCGUUCGCUUCAUCAUUCCUAUUGACUUGAUGUCAUCGCCGACCGAUUACAUCUUCAUGAAAUCUCUCGACAACUGUGUCGUGAUCAUCAUCAACAUCCUAAGCUCUUCCAAGAUAUAUAUCAAAUUCUUGAUGGGUAAUACCAUCCUUGCCCCUCGAUGAUUCGUGUUAUCAUCGACCACUUUAUUGUCUUCCAUUCAACACAAACUUGUUCGUGUUUUGUGUUAUACCUUGAGAUCCUUGCUACCCAGCAAUUUUUCUUCUUUACCUUGGAAGUAUUACCAUCUUUUAUGUCAAGAAAGUCGUGAGAAUUUCGCCACCUCUUUAAGAAUUCUUGAUACUAGUAAUACUUCUUGCCAUCUUCGUUCAUUCCUUGGUUCGCGUGUUGUUUCUAACCGGAAAAUCGAUAAUUGAGUUGUGAUGUGCGACUUUAAAACUUCAAGCAACCCUAUUGCUUUGAAGUUAAUGGUCGAUAAUUCAUUCUUAGACCAUUGGUUACCGAAUCACCAUUCUAAUAUUGAUCAUGCUACCUAAGCCCAUAUUUCGGGCGCACGUUUCAACCAAUGUUUAACUGUGUAUGUUUUCCUCGAGCAUACAUCAUUUUACCAGUUGAUCUGACAAAUGUUAUCUCCUUGUUCACAUAAUGGUGGAAAUCCAUCUUUUGUUAACCUCGAUGGAUUGUUGCUGAGUCAAUCAGUUACCUCCUCACCUCUCCUUGAUUUAAUGGUGAACCCCUAUUCAGAACUCGCUUCCAUAGUUCAUUUCCCAAGAAUCAUAUAAUGUCGUCUCGUCAAUUGUGUUGCACCUCUUCUUCUCAGGCAUCCUGAGUUUAUGGUGUCCUGACACCAUUCAGAUUUGAAGCUUGUCAAAUAUGAUGGUUAGAACAUUUUCCAAGAGUCAUAGCAUUGAUCUUUAUAUAACCCAGUAAGGUGAUGUCAUGCCUAGCACACCUGACCGGAGGACCGAGUGUUAUAGUUUCCUUUUUAACAAGGUUAUCCAUUCUUCCAUGAGGAAACUGUAAGACUUAUUCUAUAAGUUGUUUUCGAUGGAUCCUUUGUACCCAAAGCCUGACCUUUGCUUGAAGACCAUGUCAAUACUGUCUCGAAGCAUGUCUAUGGCACUCCGAUUUUCAACAGGAACAUUUGAAGCCCAAUGCUAAAUGUUUCCUGCUCAAUUAUCCAAACACCGUUGAAUGGGUAAUGUCAUGAAAAUUCUCUCCCCUACCUAAAGAGUUUACUACAUUAUAUCCUGUCAUGGAUAUCAUGCUCUGCUCGUCCUUCUGAAGGAUAUACCUUUGAAAUAUGUGUUUAAACACAUUUUCCUUUCCAUUGUUUUGUUUAACCUUUCUGGUGAUCUAUAUGAUCUAAGCAGUAAUAUUCUCCUGCUUCGGUAAACACCUCGGUUUGCAACUCUGUCAGUGUGACCCUGUUACCAUUGUUGAUGACAUUCCGGUAGCCCUCGAUGGACGAGAACUUUGCCUAUUGGUCCGCCUCGUUCAAUGAGCAGGAAAAUGGUUCUCUUCGUCCCUCGCCCUUGGUACCGACGUUGUUGCCGACAUAAUCAACAGGCUACCCUCUAACCUGCCUUGCUAUCAUAACCAUACAAGAUGUCAGCGCCUUUCCUACUUUAAACCCACAUGGUGGGCCCAUACCCCACAGGUCCUAGGAUCGAAACCUGACUCUUCGGUAAACCCCCUGUUGCCAAGGUUGUCCCUCGCGCGUGGCCUCGUAAGUAAUUCACGAGCCACCUUUCGAGAGAUCAUCAGUUCUGCUAUCAAACGCAAUACUUAUCCCCAUUGCUCUGAACCCCUUUCACACUUUGUUUCAGGCAACGAACGAUUGUCUAUGCGCUUGAAACUUCUAUUUUGCACCUUCUUACUUUGCUCACGAUAUUUUCUUAAGUUUCAAUUCGAGAGUUGCUAUCCGCCACCCUCCCCGAUGUUAUCGACUAGAUAGUCGACCUUGCGGAGGUAUAUUCUCCCGGAAAGCCCACUCUUUAUUCUUUCGUAAGUACGAUGGAGUUCCUGAAGAAAGGAUGCCGACUUCAUCAUGAUGACCUAAAACAGAGAAAUGAAGACCUCAAUAUAUUGGGUUGGCCUCUUCGAGAAGAGCAAGCCAGGAUGAGAAGACCCGCUAGAUUCGUUACCAAACCUUCCCCCCUUUCACUACCUCUUAAAUCUCGGGACGAGAUUUCUUGUAGUGGAGGAGAAUUGUGACGCCCGGAUAAUUAAGCUACAGUAAUCCCACGUUAACGAUGCCACGUCACCCCAGUUACUGUUGCUAAUCUCUCGUUAGUUCAAAACCGGUUCAAACGUCAAAUUCAAAAUAGGCCAAACGGUAAAAGUUUUCAAACAUUAAAACUAAAAUGUUUGAGUUGUGCCAAAUAAUACAUAGGUGUUUAUGGUGGAGAAAUCACACUUUUAUAAAAUGUUAGAAUACUCUAAAAUGAUUUAAACAGUAGCAAAAACAAUUAUUUAAACGGUUUGAAAAUAUUAAAACAAAUGAAAACUAAUUUAUUUAAAGUUCCCAAUUUAAUGUGGUUGUGGUAUAAUUAGAACUACCAAUUUAGGAUCUAUUGCAGUAAUUAAUAAAACUAAAUAAACUUAAGAGAUAAGUGAAAACAGAAAAGAAAUAAAUAAAAAGGAAAUUAACAGAAAAGUAAAAGAGAAGAAAGACACCCCCCACUGGGCCCGUUGGCCCAGCUGCUAGCCAGGCCGGCCUCAAAUCGUCCAGCCCACCCCGACUCCUCUAUAACCCCCACACCCAAACCCUAACUACCCCCACGACCCACCCCACAUUCUCCCCCGAUCCCCCACUCUCUCCUCGCGCCCCCUCCUCUCGGUCCCGAUCUGGAUCGGGGGCAGGCGACCCCGUCGCCCCGCUUCUACAUCACCGGUGCCGCCUCCUCGUCCUCCUCCCCGCCGGAAACGCCCCGAGCCCGGAGCCGCUCGACCCCGAUGCCAGCACCUCCCCCGAACGACGCCGCCCCGUGCUGGGCUUCCUCCUCAGCCCCGUCGUCGCCGGCCGUCGUCGCCGCCCGGAGCCCCGCACCUCGCCGGGACCUCAUCGCCGGCCUGCUUCCCCUCCGCACGUCGUCCUCGACCUCCAUCGAGCCCGCUGCCCAGUACCCUACGCCCCCCCGUGAGCUUCCCCUCUGCCUUCUCCUUCCCUUAAAUCGUCGCGGUCCUCGCCGAUCUUGCCCACAGAUGACGCGCUCCGGCCGCGUCCUGUGCACGCCGGCCUCGCCUUGUCUGCCUCGACGCACCGUCCCGGCGCCACGGCAUAGCCCGCAUCACCACAGCCUCGCCUCGCCGUGGCACUGACUGGCCGCGCCCAGUCCGGGCGCUCGCGCCCACGCGCCGUCCAGCCGCCGCCCUGGCCCCCGUGCCGAACUCCGACACCGUACGCCGCGGCCACUGCUGCAUCUGCGCUGCUCGGCCCUUGCCAGGUCGGGCACCGCUAGCGCCCAGCGCCCGCUCACCCGUGUGCCCGAACCCGCCAACGCCGGCGCCCACUAAGGCCCUAGGGCCUAUGACAGAGGGGCCCCACGCCCCAGAACGUUUUUAGAAGAAAAUAAAAAUAAAAAUAAAUUUAAUUAAUUAAUUAACUAACUAAAUUAAUUAAGUUAAUUAAUCCUACUUAAUUAGUCUAAAUUAACCUGUUAGUCUAACUAAGGAGUAAUAAGUUUAACUAAACCCUAGUUACCUAAACAGAGUAUGACAGGUGGGUCCCACUGGACCCACACAUCAGUUUGACCAGUCAACACCUCUGUUGACUGCUGACGUCAUGCUGACGUCGACGUCAGCAUGCACUAUUCUGGAUAAUGUUGAAUUAAAUCAAUUAAGUAAGUUCUAAAAAUGAUUUAAAACUUUAGAAAAUCAUAUAAAAUAAACCAUAGCUCAGAUGGAAAAACUUUGUACAUGAAAGUUGCUCAGAACGAUGAGACGAAUCAGGAUACGCAACCCGUUCGUCCGCCACACACCCCUAACAUAUCAAACUCGCAACUUUCCCCCUCCGGCUCCUCUGCCCGAAAACGCGGAACACCGGGGAUACUUUCCCGGUUGUUCCCCCCUUCACCGGUAUCACCUCAUACUGCGUUAGAACACGUCUAGCUUUGUCUGUUGUCCUGUUAUGCACUUGCUUGCUAUGUAUUUACUGUUUCUACCCCCUCUUCUCUUCAGUAGACCCCGUGAUGAUGCUGAUGCCCCUGUGGUCGACUACGUCAGCGACGACCCCUCCUUGUCUGAGCAACCAGGCAAGCCCCCCCCCCCCUUGAUCACCAGAUAUUGCCUAUUCUCCUCUAUACUGCUUGCAUUAGAGUAGUGUAGCAUGUUACUACUUUCCGUUGAUCCUAUUUUGUUGCAUAGCCUGUCAUUGUUGCUACAGUCAUUGAUACCUUACCCGCAAUCCUAAAUGCUUAGUAUAGGAUGCUAGUUUAUCACCAUUGGCCCUACAUUCUUGUCAGUCUGCCUUGCUAUACUAUUGGGCCGUGAUCACUCGGGAGGUGAUCACGGGUAUAUACUAUACAUACAUACAUACAUACUACAGAUAGUGACUAAAGUCGGGUCCGCUCGAAGAGUACCCGCGAGUGAUUCACGGAUUGGGGGCUGAAAGGACCUUUGUCUCGACGGCCCUCUGUGUGGAUCUUUGUGGCAGAGCGACAGGGCAGGUUGAGACCACCUAGGCGAGAGGUGGGCCUGGCCCUGGUCGGCGUCCGCGGUUGCUUCAUAAUAACACGCAUAACGAGAUCUUGGUAUUUGAUCUGAGUCUGGCCAUUUGGUCUAUACGCACUAACCAACUACGUGGGAAAGAUAUGGGCACUCGACGUCGUGGUAUCAGCCGAAGCCUUCUUGACGUUAGCGACGGAGCGGCGCGCGCUGGAUUGGACUGGAACGCCUACUCUUGUAUAAGGGAGGCUAGGUCUGCUUCCGGCCGCCCUCGCAACGUGCAGGUGUGCAAUGGGCGAUGGGCCCGGACCCCAGCGCGCAUAGGAUUUAGACCGGCGUGUUGACCUCUUUGUUGUGCCUAGGUGGGGCUGCGACGUGUUGAUCUUCCGAGGCCGGGCAUGACCCAGGAAAGUGUGUCCGGCCAAAUGGGAUCGAGCGUGUUGGGUUAUGUGGUGCACCCCUGCAGGGAAGUUUAUCUAUUCGAAUAGUCGUGUCCCUCGGUAAAAGGACGACCCGGAGUUGUACCUUGACCUUAUGACAACUAGAACCGGAUACUUAAUAAAAUACACCCUUCCAAGUGCCAGAUACAACCCGGUGAUCGCUCUCUAACAGGGCGACGAGGUGAGGAUUGCUGGGUAGGAUUAUGCUAUGCGAUGCUACUUGGAGGACUUCAAUCUACUCUCUUCUACAUGCUGCAAGACGGAGGCUGCCAGAAGCGUAGUCUUCGACAGGAUUAGCUAUCCCCCUCUUAUUCUGGCAUUCUGCAGUUCAGUCCAUUGAUAUGGCCCUUUACACAUAUACCCAUGCAUAUGUAGUGCAGCUCCUUGCUUGCGAGUACUUUGGAUGAGUACUCACGGUUGCUUUCUCCCCCCUUCUCCCCCUUUCCUUUCUUUCUGGUUGUCGCAACCAGAUGCUGGAGCCCAGGAGCCAGACGCCACCGUCGACGACGACUACUACACUGGAGGUGCCUACUACUACGUGCAGGCCGCUGACGACGACCAGGAGUAGUUUAGGAGGAUCCCAGGCAGGAGGCAUGCGCCUCUUUCGAUCUGUAUCCCAGUUUGUG
rnacentral:lncRNA from 1 species